CUGCAAUUAACAUCAUGGUGCCUUUUGCUUUACUCUUGUUUGAGACAUCACUUCCUGCAAUUAACAUCAUUGCUUUACUGUUGUUUGAGACAACACUUAGAAGUAGCCUGUCUGCAAAAGGAGAGCAACUUGUGAUGGCAGUUGGAAGGACAGAAGGACAAGUUCAGAGUCUUCAGGCAACUUGGCUGAGAGGGCCUUUCACGUGACAAGCAGCUUGUCCAAGAACAAGGGACACGGCCAAGCUCCUGAAAGACAUAAGGGCUGGACAUCGAGGCCUCCGGUCCACAGGCUGAUGAGAGUGGACAUGCCCAGUUGAUUGUGGUUCAGGCAGAAAAAAAGACUUUUGCCACCCGGGUCAGCUUAGCCAGUGAAGCCCAGGACUCCUGAGGUUCCUGGUCCAAUCCUUAGCAUGGAAUGUUCUGGAGUGGUGUUCUGACUUCUGUUCCCACGAACCCAUAUGUCAAAUAAGCAAAAGCACAUCUUGUUAAAA